AACGUAGGGGAGCAAGCGUUAUCCGGAUUUACUGGGCGUAAAGCGCCCGUAGGCGGCCUGACAAGUUUGGACGUGAAAGCUCCUGGCUUAACUGGGAGAGGCCGUUCAAAACUGUCAAGCUAGAGUCUGGAAGAGGAGAGCGGAAUUCCCGGUGUAGUGGUGGAAUGCGUAGAUAUGCGGAGGAACACCGAUGGCGAAGGCAAUCCCCUGGGCCUGCACUGACGCUCAUGCACGAAAAGCGUGGGGAGCAAACAGG
rnacentral:rRNA from 1 species